GGGGGUCUACGGUGUCGGCAUAUUGAGGCGAAAGAGCUCGUAGGCGGCGUGUCGCGUCUGCUGUGAAAGACCGGGGCUUAACUCCGGUUCUGCAGUGGAUACGGGCAUGCUAGAGGUAGGUAGGGGAGACUGGAAUUCCUGGUGUAGCGGUGAAAUGCGCAGAUAUCAGGAGGAACACCGGUGGGGAAGGCGGGUCUCUGGGCCUUACCUGACGCUGAGGAGCGAAAGCAUGGGGAGCGAACAGGAUUAGAUACCCUGGUAGUCCAUGCCGUAAACGUUGGGCGCUAGGUGUGGGGACUUUCCACGGUUUCCGCGCCGUAGCUAACGCAUUAAGCGCCCCGCCUGGGGAGUACGGCCGCAAGGCUAAAACUCAAAGGAAUUGACGGGGGCCCGCACAAGCGGCGGAGCAUGUUGCUUAAUUCGACGCAACGCGAAGAACCUUACCAAGGUUUGACAUCACCCGUGGACUCGCAGAGAUGUGAGGUCAUUUAGUUGGCGGGUGACAGGUGGUGCAUGGCUGUCGUCAGCUCGUGUCGUGAGAUGUUGGGUUAAGUCCCGCAACGAGCGCAACCCUUGUUCCAUGUUGCCAGCACGUAAUGGUGGGGACUCAUGGGAGACUGCCGGGGUCAACUCGGAGGAAGGUGGGGAUGACGUCAAGUCAUCAUGCCCCUUAUGUCUUGGGCUGCAAACAUGCUACAAUGGCCGGUACAAUGGGCGUGCGAUACCGUAAGGUGGAGCGAAUCCCUAAAAGCCGGUCUCAGUUCGGAUUGGGGUCUGCAACUCGACCCCAUGAAGGUGGAGUCGCUAGUAAUCGCGGAUCAGCAACGCCGCGGUGAAUACGUUCCCGGGCCUUGUACACACCGCCCGUCACGUCAUGAAAGUCGGCAACACCCGAAACUUGCGGCCUAACCCCUUGUGGGAGGGAGUGAGUGAAGGUGGGGCUGGCGAUUGGGACGAAUCGUACAGAGGGAAAACACCUAUAAAGGGGGGGGG
rnacentral:rRNA from 1 species